GACGGAGGAUGCAAGCGUUAUCCGGAAUGAUUGGGCGUAAAGCGUCCGCAGGUGGCAGUUCAAGUCUGCUGUCAAAGACCGGGGCUUAACUUCGGAAAGGCAGUGGAAACUGAACAGCUAGAGUAUGGUAGGGGCAGAGGGAAUUCCUGGUGUAGCGGUGAAAUGCGCAGAUAUCAGGAAGAACACCAAUGGCGAAGGCAGCUCUCUGGGACGGUACUGACGCUGAGACGCGAAAGCGUGGAGAGCGAACAGG
rnacentral:rRNA from 1 species